rnacentral:lncRNA from 1 species
UACUGGACCUCCUAGCAACCCUAUUUCACCCACUUCAGCCCACUCCAAAACUGGUAUGCAGACAAGCUUUCAGUUCCGUGCAUCUGUAUCUCAUGGAUUUAAAUAACCUCUUAUCUUUUAUUUCUGUUCACAGUCUGGAGGUGGAAACAGAACAUUACAAUCCGAUGUGGAUUCAAGUAUCUGACUGUAGAUGCUGUUUAAGCCUUGGGCACUGCUUACUGAAGAGAUUUAUUCAGCUUUGGGAUCCAGCUACUGGAAAACUACUUUGUACUCAGUAUUUGCCACUUGUUCUGUACAUCAAGUUUCCACACACCCUUAAGCUUACAGAAGCACUGCAGAGCUGCUGAGCCCUGUGUUUGUAUUUUAGUCCAUUUUGAAUCUUACAUGCAGAUUUGCAGAAUGGAUUCUGCCGUAUUUCAUUAGGCUUUCGAGUACUUCUGCCAUAGCAACACAAAUCACCUAUAGAGAGUUUGUAUACAUUAAAUCUCUCUCUUAAACACUGGUAUUAUACACUCUGUUCCACACUGCUUCGUUUCCUUCCUGGCUUUGCAGACUGUUAGCAGCCAAGAAAUAGCGGCAUGUUGGUUGUAUCCCCCUCUUCUUUUAUCUGUCUCCUGACUCUGUCCCCCACCUCCAGUUAAAUCAUUGCUGUAUAACACUCCUUUCAAACGUCAGAAAAAGCAUGGCAAAAGACACACUAGCCUGUUCAGGUAUAAUGUCUACAUGUCUCUGUGUGGGGGCAUUCAAGGGAACAUCAACUUAACCCACACACAUUUUUUCUUCCUCCAUAUCUGUAGCCUCUAUAGACUAUUUGGAUCAGCUUAAUGGGUGGGGAACUCUUAGGAAGGGGUUGUGAUUCAAGAUUUGAGCUGUACAGGCAGGAGCUGCUCUUCCCGUGAAGGAUGAUAUGGCUCUCAACACCUUGGUUUAUGUAGACGAAUUUCAAUAUGCUUGUGCAGGAGAGACACUAGAAGGAUGAAUGCAUGUAAUGAUUCUAUGUAUUUGCAUUUAAAUUUGGAUUUCAUUUUAGGACUAUAAAGAUUAUGCUGGUCUGGUUGGAUCACUCAGUGGUUUAGCUAUCUGUCUGCAGAGCCAGAGGUUGGCAGUUUGAUUCUCCACUUUGCCUCCUGGGAGAAGAGCCAGCUUCUGUAGCUAUGGGCAAGCUGCACAAUCCCAUGGCAAACCCCCCCCCCCCCAAAGAAGGUAAUGGUAAACCACUUCUGAGUAUUCUCUGCCUCAAAAACCCUGGAAGGUUUUACCAUAAGUCAGAACUGACUUGACAGAACACAAUUACUAUUAUUAUAUAAAGGCUUAAUACUUGGAGCUAUUUCCUUUAUGUUGUGGCUC